rnacentral:rRNA from 1 species
AUUGAACGCUGGCGGAAUGCUUUACACAUGCAAGUCGAGCGGCAGCGCGGGGGCAACCCUGGCGGCGAGCGGCGAACGGGUGAGUAACAUAUCGGAACGUACCCCGUCGUGGGGGAUAACACAGCGAAAGCUGUGCUAAUACCGCAUACGACCUGAGGGUGAAAGCGGGGGAUCGCAAGACCUCGCGCGAUGGGAGCGGCCGAUAUCGGAUUAGCUUGUUGGUGAGGUAAAGGCUCACCAAGGCGACGAUCCGUAGCUGGUCUGAGAGGACGACCAGCCACACUGGAACUGAGACACGGUCCAGACUCCUACGGGAGGCAGCAGUGGGGAAUUUUGGACAAUGGGGGCGAACCCUGAUCCAGCCAUUCCGCGUGAGUGAAGAAGGCCUC